rnacentral:rRNA from 1 species
ACGGAGGGUGCAAGCGUUAAUCGGAAUUACUGGGCGUAAAGGGUUCGUAGGUUGUUAUGUAAGUUGGCUGUGAAAGCCCCGGGCUCAACCUGGGAUGGUCAGUCAAAACUACAUGGCUAGAGUAUAGUAGAGGGGUGUGGAAUUUCCGGUGUAGCGGUGAAAUGCGUAGAGAUCGGAAGGAACACCAGUGGCGAAGGCGGCACCCUGGACUAAUACUGACACUGAGGAACGAAAGCGUGGGGAGCAAACAGG